AAGGAGUACACCGUUAGCUUACUUUGUGUGGCAACUACACGUUAUAAGGAGUCGAGCCUGAUUGCCUAUAAAUACACAUUAAGCUGAGGACAUGACAGUUCAACAUCUCACAGUCACACACGUGAUUUAAUCAGUUUCACAGGAAGCAAGCAUCACAAGGAUGAGUUCCGUGGAGAAGAAGCUGGAGGGAGGGAACACCGAUACUGGUGACCAUCACAACCAGAAGACAGAGUGGCCAGAGUUGGUGGGGAAGUUGGUGGAGGAGGCCAAGAAGGUGAUUUUGCAGGACAAGCCAGAGGCGCGGAUCGUAGUUCUGCCGGUGGGGACAAUUGUGACCAUGGAAUAUUGAAUCGACCGCGUCCGCCUCUUUGUUGACAGUCUCGACAACAUUGGCCAGGUCCCCAGGGUUGGCUAGCAAGCUUCAGAGCUAGCCUGCUCCUGGCGUAUAUGUAUUGUGGCUUGAUAAGCUCUUCUUGGAUAUAGCAAGAUUGAGAUAUAUAUAUAUAUCAUAUACAAUAAGAGUUGUUGCAUGGUAAGUGAAUGGAUAAUAGAAUAAGUCAAAGAGCACGUAAUAUGGUUAAGGUUUGUAUGUAAGCGUGCUUGAUGUCGUAUAUGUACAUCUAUCUGUUUAAAUAUGGAUACCAUAUAUUUCA